ACGGGUGAGUAAUGCUUAGGAAUCUGCCUAUUAGUGGGGGACAACAUCUCGAAAGGGAUGCUAAUACCGCAUACGUCCUACGGGAGAAAGCAGGGGACCUUCGGGCCUUGCGCUAAUAGAUGAGCCUAAGUCGGAUUAGCUAGUUGGUGGGGUAAAGGCCUACCAAGGCGACGAUCUGUAGCGGGUCUGAGAGGAUGAUCCGCCACACUGGGACUGAGACACGGCCCAGACUACUACGGGAGGCAGCAGUGGGGAAUAUUGGACAAUGGGGGGAACCCUGAUCCAGCCAUGCCGCGUGUGUGAAGAAGGCCUUUUGGUUAUAAAGCACUUUAAGCGAGGAGGAGGCUACCGAGAUUAAUACUCUUGGAUAGUGGACGUUACUCGCAGAAUAAGCACCGGCUAACUCUGUGCCAGCAGCCGCGGUAAUACAGAGGGUGCAAGCGUUAAUCGGAUUUACUGGGCGUAAAGCGCGCGUAGGUGGCCAAUUAAGUCAAAUGUGAAAUCCCCGAGCUUAACUUGGGAAUUGCAUUCGAUACUGGUUGGCUAGAGUAUGAGAGAGGAUGGUAGAAUUUCCAGGUGUAGCG
rnacentral:rRNA from 1 species